GUGUUUUAAUGACAGUCUGACUCGAAACUCCUGAGUGAGAGAGCAGAUUUGAAGCUCAACAC
rfam:Astyanax mexicanus chromosome 25, whole genome shotgun sequence.